rnacentral:sRNA from 1 species
ACGCAGCUCUCGGCACAACAAACACAACACAAAAUCAAUUUAUAAAGAAAGCAAGUAAAAAGAAUAUUCCAAAUUGCAAAAUGAAACCCGCGAAAAGAAAGAAAUCCUAUUAAAAUUCCAUUUCGAAUAACAUGCAGAUAAUAUAAUAAGAGCACACAUCCUCUCUCACACAUACACGUAAUUAGCCAUUUGUUGCAGUUUGCUCACAGGACUACCCGUGAUGAUGGAAUUCAUAUGUUUAUUAUUAUUGUAUUUCCAUGUGUACAACGAGAGCCGAUCAGAUUAUGUGGUUUCUGAUCGGCCUAGACAUAUACGAAUGGAGACUAAAAAACAGUCUUAAUUUUGUGGCGCGUACAUUUCAUUAAAUUUCAUACAUUUCAAAUAGUUCUACAAUAGCUCAGGCAACCUUCAACGAUUGGUAUGGCAAUCAUGACCAAUCAUGACCAGCUGGAAUAGACCAGAAAUUCACUCUGAUACUCGGAUGCACUCUAGAUAUACAUACAUAGUUCUACACAUCUUGACUUCCAUACACACUUAUAUCGAAUAUGCAUAUAUAUAUAUUUAUUUAGACAUAUAU